GACGAACGCUGGCGGCGUGCCUAAUACAUGCAAGUUGAGCGCUGAAGGUUGGUACUUGUACCAACUGGAUGAGCAGCGCACGGGUGAGUAACGCGUGGGGAAUCUGCCUUUGAGCGGGGGACAACAUUUGGAAACGAAUGCUAAUACCGCAUAAAAACUUUAAACACAAGUUUUAAGUUUGAAAGAUGCAAUUGCAUCACUCAAAGAUGAUCCCGCGUUGUAUUAGCUAGUUGGUGAGGUAAAGGCGCACCAAGGCGAUGAUACAUAGCCGACCUGAGAGGGUGAUCGGCCACAUUGGGACUGAGACACGGCCCAAACUCCUACGGGAGGCAGCAGUAGGGAAUCUUCGGCAAUGGACGAAAGUCUGACCGAGCAACGCCGCGUGAGUGAAGAAGGUUUUCGGAUCGUAAAACUCUGUUGGUAGAGAAGAACGUUGGUGAGAGUGGAAAGCUCAUCAAGUGACGGUAACUAACCAGAAAGGGACGGCUAACUACGUG
rnacentral:rRNA from 1 species